GUGAGUAGUUCAGAGUUUGAUCCUGGCUCAGGAUGAACGCUGGCGGCGUGCUUAACACAUGCAAGUCGAACGAAGCAUUAUAACUUGAUUUCUUCGGAUUGAUUGUUAUUAUGACUGAGUGGCGGACGGGUGAGUAACGCGUGGGUAACCUGCCUCAUACAGGGGGAUAACAGUUGGAAACGACUGCUAAUACCGCAUAAGCGCACAGCAUCGCAUGAUGCAGUGUGAAAAACUCCGGUGGUAUGAGAUGGACCCGCGUCUGAUUAGCUAGUUGGCAGGGUAACGGCCUACCAAGGCGACGAUCAGUAGCCGACCUGAGAGGGUGACCGGCCACAUUGGGACUGAGACACGGCCCAA
rnacentral:rRNA from 1 species